GACGAACGCUGGCGGCGUGCUUAACACAUGCAAGUCGAACGGAAAGGCCCUGCUUUUGUGGGGUGCUCGAGUGGCGAACGGGUGAGUAACACGUGAGUAACCUGCCCUUGACUUUGGGAUAACUUCAGGAAACUGGGGCUAAUACCGGAUAGGAGCUCCUGCUGCAUGGUGGGGGUUGGAAAGUUUCGGCGGUUGGGGAUGGACUCGCGGCUUAUCAGCUUGUUGGUGGGGUAGUGGCUUACCAAGGCUUUGACGGGUAGCCGGCCUGAGAGGGUGACCGGCCACAUUGGGACUGAGAUACGGCCCAGACUCCUACGGGAGGCGGCAGUGGGGAAUAUUGCACAAUGGGCGGAAGCCUGAUGCAGCAACGCCGCGUGCGGGAUGACGGCCUUCGGGUUGUAAACCGCUUUCGCCUGUGACGAAGCGUGAGUGACGGUAAUGGGUAAAGAAGCACCAGCUAACUACGUG
rnacentral:rRNA from 1 species